GAUGAACGCUGGCUGCAGGCUUAACACAUGCAAGUCGAGCGACGGGCGCGCGUGUGAGUAACACGUAUCACAGCUGCCCUUUACUCGAGGAUAGCCUUUCGAAAGAGAGAAUAAUACCUGACAUGAAGGGUGGGGAUGGGUUUAAUUAGGUUGUUGGUGAGGGAACGGCUAACCCAGCAUUCGAUGGAUAGGGGGGCGGAGAGGAAGGUCCCCCACAACGGAACUGAGACACGGACCAAACUCCUACGGGAGGCAGCAGUGAGGAACAGUGGGCAAUGGGCCGUAGCCCGAACCAGCCAAGUAGCGUGAAGGAUGAAUGCUUAGGGGUCGUAAACUUCUGUGAUAGAAGAAUAUGUAUUAUAUGAAUAAGGAUCGGCUAACUCCGUGCCAGCAGCCGCGGUAAUUC
rnacentral:rRNA from 1 species